rfam:Salmo salar isolate Sally breed double haploid chromosome ssa20, whole genome shotgun sequence.
UUACGGUUCAUUAUUACUUUUGGUACGCGCUAGGCCAGUCUCAAACUCGUACCGUGAGUAAUAAUGCACUGUGG